UGUGUGUGUGUGGGUGUCUUGGAACUUGGGAAAAUUCCCAGCAAUGAAGGCAGCUGCUGAUGUCAGCUCAACAAGGUAGGCCAGCACAGAAACUAUCCUCGCAGGAAGACUUUAGCCUAAGCCAGGGCUGUCAAACUCACAGCCUGCGGGCUGGAUGCAUCAGCACUGGCCACGCUCCCUUUAGUGAAGGGGGAAAAGUCGCAAUAUAUCACAUGAUGAUGCAGUAAUGACAUGAGUUUGACACCCCUGGCCUAAGCCAAUCUAGUAUAAUCCUAGCUUUCCUUUGGAAUCAGUUUCCUGAGCUGGUCUGUCUCCUAUAGCUGACAUCAAUCUUGGAAGUCUGCUAAUGUUUUACUUUUCUACUCUCAUACACCACCAAUAUGUCAGGGAGGAGCCAGUCUGAGCAUCUUCCCAAUACUAUGUUCAUUCUCAGACCUUAAGGAAGUCCCCCCCACCCUUUUGGGCACCAGGGACCGGUUCCGUGGAGGUAGAUUUUCCACGGCUGGAGGGGGUGUGGUUUUGUGUGCUGCCUGCAUCCUGCGUAUGCGGCUUUGCUUGUUUGCAUAGCCUGGUUUCUGGCAUGGCACGGCCUGGUGCCGGUUCACGGAAUGGGGGUUGGGACCCCUGCCUUAAAGGAAUACUGCAAAUUAUUUCCAUGCUUUUCUAACCUGGGGUGUGACAUUCAGCAAUAUCCAGAGAGCAGCUUCCUGUAGUCAAUUUUUAUUCGGACUGACUGCGGCUUGCCAGAAUUCUCAGAU